ensembl:lncRNA novel transcript
GGAGAAACAUGACAAGGAAAGAGCCUGCAGAGAACAGUGCCUUUGCAUGUACAGGUCUGUCUGCAGGAACAUUCUGCUGACUUCUGUCCAUCCCUUUUCACUCAGCUUUCGUCAAUCCAACUGAUUUUCAGUCCACAGACCCCAAGCCUGCAGGAAGCUCUUCAGAGACUAAGUAAGCCCUUGUAGCAAGCCUGAAAAGAUUCUGAAGUCCGGUGAAACAGCUGACGCCAACCAGUUUGAAGACCCCACAUAGGAACAGAAUCAGCAUGAGGACAGUUUCUUCAUCUGUCUGUCCUAUGAUUUCACCCUGCACUCUUUGACCAAUCAACAAUCUUCACACUUCUGCCUGUUCUAAAACUCUUAUAAACUUUAGCCCCAAACUCCUCACGGAGGUGGAUUUGAGGUUUCCUCCCAUCUCUUUAUUCGGUAGCCCUCCAAUUAAAUCUCUUUCUCCUGCA